rnacentral:ncRNA from 1 species
GGGUAAGGGGAAUGAAGUUCUCCCCGGGAUAAAUCCCGAACCGCAAUUAUUGCUGAUGACUUCUGCGA